rnacentral:tRNA from 1 species
AAGAUUUUAGUUUAGAAAAACGUUGGAUUGUCAGACCAAAGACAUAGGUUAAUUCCUAUAUUUCUUG